CUUGAUGAAAUCAAGGUGUCCAGGGGCAUCGAUGACAGUGCAGUAGUACUUGGUGGUCUCGAACUUCCGCAGGGCAAUAUCAAUGUUGAUACCCCUCUCACGGUCAGCCUUCAGCUGGUCGAGCACCCACGCAUACUUGAAUGA
rnacentral:rRNA from 1 species